AGUGGAUUAGCGGCGGACGGGUGAGUAACACGUGGGUAACCUGCCUCAAAGUGGGGGAUAGCCUUCCGAAAGGAAGAUUAAUACCGCAUAAUAUAAGAGAAUCGCAUGAUUUUCUUAUCAAAGAUUUAUUGCUUUGAGAUGGACCCGCGGCGCAUUAGCUAGUUGGUAAGGUAACGGCUUACCAAGGCAACGAUGCGUAGCCGACCUGAGAGGGUGAUCGGCCACAUUGGAACUGAGACACGGUCCAGACUCCUACGGGAGGCAGCAGUGGGGAAUAUUGCGCAAUGGGGGAAACCCUGACGCAGCAACGCCGCGUGGGUGAUGAAGGUCUUCGGAUUGUAAAGCCCUGUUUUCURGGACGAUAAUGACGGUACCAGAGGAGGAAGCCACGGCUAACUACGUGCCAGCAGCCGCGGUAAUACGUAGGUGGCGAGCGUUGUCCGGAUUUACUGGGCGUAAAGGGUGCGUAGGCGGAUGUUUAAGUGGGAUGUGAAAUCCCCGGGCUUAACCUGGGGGCUGCAUUCCAAACUGGAUAUCUAGAGUGCAGGAGAGGAAAGCGGAAUUCCUAGUGUAGCGGUGAAAUGCGUAGAGAUUAGGAAGAACACCAGUGGCGAAGGCGGCUUUCUGGACUGUAACUGACGCUGAGGCACGAAAGCGUGGGUAGCAAACAGGAUUAGAUACCCUGGUAGUCCACGCCGUAAACGAUGGAUACUAGGUGUAGGGGGUAUCAACUCCCCCUGUGCCGCAGUUAACACAAUAAGUAUCCCGCCUGGGGAGUACGGUCGCAAGAUUAAAACUCAAAGGAAUUGACGGGGGCCCGCACAAGCAGCGGAGCAUGUGGUUUAAUUCGAAGCAACGCGAAGAACCUUACCUGGACUUGACAUCCCUUGCAUAGCCUAGAGAUAGGUGAAGCCCUUCGGGGCAAGGAGACAGGUGGUGCAUGGUUGUCGUCAGCUCGUGUCGUGAGAUGUUAGGUUAAGUCCUGCAACGAGCGCAACCCUUGUUAUUAGUUGCUACCAUUAAGUUGAGCACUCUAAUGAGACUGCCUGGGUAACCAGGAGGAAGGUGGGGAUGACGUCAA
rnacentral:rRNA from 1 species